CCUACGGGAGGCAGCAGUGAGGAAUAUUGGUCAAUGGUCGGGAGACUGAACCAGCCAAGCCGCGUGAGGGAUGAAGGUACAGAGUAUCGUAAACCUCUUUUGUCAGGGAACAAAGGCGGGGACGCGUCCUCGGAUGAGUGUACCUGAAGAAAAAGCAUCGGCUAACUCCGUGCCAGCAGCCGCGGUAAUACUGAGGAUGCGAGCGUUAUCCGGAUUUAUUGGGUUUAAAGGGUGGUCAGGGGGUCUGUUAAGUCAGGGGUCAAAGCCCGGGGCUAAACCGCGGCCCGCAGUUGAAACUGGCAGUCUCGAGUAGGAGAGAAGUAUGCGGAAUGCGCGGUGUAGCGGUGAAAUGCAUAGAUA
rnacentral:rRNA from 1 species